AUGUUGAAGAUAUUAGCCAUAGAUUUGUUGACUCUAGUAAUGCAAGAUGUUGAUUUGGGUUGUUACAGGAGUUUUAAGGAGGGUCAUGAACUUCACACAUCUCAUUGUUCUAGUUGGUGCACUGAGGUUCUAGGAUAUGGAGGUUCAAGGUUGGUAAACCUCAAUAAUAUAUGCCCUGUUACAUGUAAAUGCUCUAGUCAAAGUCAUCCAGUUCUCCUAGUUUGGGAUCUUCUUUGGAGAUGGUGCUACUUAGUGGGGUUGGGUAUAAUGAGUUUAGCUCUAUGUUGUACAAUUUUGAUAUAG